UAUGCUUAACACAUGCAAGUCGAACGGCAGCACAGGGAGCUUGCUCCUGGGUGGCGAGUGGCGGACGGGUGAGUAACGCGUGAGGAUCUGCCCUUAGGUGGGGGACAACAGUUGGAAACGACUGCUAAUACCCCAUAUGCCGAGAGGUGAAAGAUUAAUUGCCUGAGGAUGAACUCGCGUCUGAUUAGCUAGUUGGUGGGGUAAGGGCCUACCAAGGCGACGAUCAGUAGCUGGUCUGAGAGGACGAUCAGCCACACUGGAACUGAGACACGGUCCAGACUCCUACGGGAGGCAGCAGUGGGGAAUUUUCCGCAAUGGGCGCAAGCCUGACGGAGCAAUACCGCGUGCGGGAGGAAGGCCCUUGGGUCGUAAACCGCUUUUAACAGGGAAGAAUAACUGACGGUACCUGUUGAAUAAGCCUCGGCUAACUCCGUGCCAGCCGCUGCAGUAACAC
rnacentral:rRNA from 1 species